UAAGAACAGAAUUUACUAACAAAAUUGCUCAAUUUCUGUUGUGUUGAGUUAAUUUGAUUUCAUUGAUGAAGAUGAGAUUUUCCUAGCUUAAAUUGGUUGAAGGUCAAAAGGUCAGAGAUUAUUUGACUUUUUAUAGUCAAAAGGUCAGAGAUUUAUAUACAUAUAUGUAUUACAUAUGUAUGUAUAUAUAUGGCUUUACUCUCUGUUCAUAUUAAUUUUUAGUAUUUUGUAUUGAAUUGCUCAUCAAAGUUAAAUUGUUCUAUUAUACUAAUUAGAACAAAAUUUGUUGAAUUGAAUUGAUUUGAUGAUCUAGGAAUAUCGUUCGCAUAGCUCAAAUUGUUCGCAUAGCCAGGGAAGAAGUCCAUCUCCUGCACCUAAUUGUUCAAGCUCAAAUUGGAAGUCUCCUGUCAGUCGCUCCCAGUCCACUUCAACUCCAACUGCCAGGAAACUCUUUUCUGAAUCUCCUCGUAGUGGUAGUAGCCCUGGUUCUCCAACAGAAGACACAAGAUCAUCGAUUGAGAAUUCGUAUUCUCAGGCCAAUGGAACUGAGGCUGAAAAUAACAUUAAUUUGAUAAUAUACCCCUGUGAGAGAUUAAAAGUGGUGUCUAGUGAUCCAGUACCAGGCAUAGACGUGACUAAAAGAGAGGUAUUUCUCUUUUAUACUCAAGUAAUGGGGAGAGAGCCUCAGUUGUAUACAUUUUAAUGCUGUGGGAAGACUUUUUAUUUUUUAUUUUUAAUUUCUGGUUGUGAGCUGUGAUGACAACUCCUUUGGUGCUUUCAAAACAUGGGAGCCUAGUGAGUCAGAACACUCUAGUUCUUUGAAGAUAUGGGAUUAUUCUGAUUCUGAGGCUGCUCCUGCUUCUUCUUGGUCUACUCUCCCUAAUAAGUCCUGAAUGUGCAGACCAUUGCCUAUGGAUAUAGGAAGGUGUACUUGUGUUAUUGUUAAGGAAGCAUCACCAGAUGGAUUUCAUGGGGGGACUCUGUAUUCUCUGUAUACCAAUGUAAGAUUUUUCUGUUUUGUUUUCUUAUUUCAACUGUAAAAUAUUGGGGUAAUUUCAAAUAGUCAAUGUACUAUCAUAUAAUUAUAAGUACUCACAUUUUUUCUUUUUUCUUUCAAAGUUGCAGGAAACGUGAAAUUAGUUUCAAUCAUGAAAACUGGUCACAUUACUAUGAAAGAUACAUCAUAUUCAUUGCAUUGCUUCUUGUAGUUAGCUUUAGGAGUUUCUUUGCCUUUCAUUCCAGCUAUUGGUUGGAUAAUAGAAUUGAAUGGAAAAAAUCUGAUCAAUUUGCUUGAUUGAAUUUGUAGCUCUUUCCUUCUGUCCUUCUAGGUGCACUAAUUACCUAACAUUACAGACUAAAUUAUUAUGGCAUGCUAUGAAUUGGAAUCUCAAUUUCUCUCUGGUCUCGUCUUUGCCGGUAGAAUCACUAUCAGGACAAGUGGUUUUGCUGUGAUGAUUACAGUAGAAUUCUAAGUGGAAAAAGUCAUUAUCCAGAACAUUAUUUCUCUCAAGGUCUGCUGCUAAUUGCUAUUGGUGAUCGAGAUAGUGACAUGAUCAAGAGACAUGAAUAUCUGCAAUUAGUAAUUAAUGAUAAAUGUUACAAAUAGAUUUUUAUUAGACUUAUUAAACGUUACAUGAGCUUUUAUCAUGUUUUUUUGUACUUGGACCAAAUUUCAUUUGUGAUACAUGUAUUGAAUAUUUUGAUGGUAUAAGAAAUAUAUUAGAUUUAUCAUCUUAUUUUGUA